CCACCGCAUCCCCUCCUCUUCCUCGCGCGCUCAUUCUUCUCCUCCAUUUUCGACGCUCUCUGUAGGUGAGGGUCUACCACUUCAAACUAAUACCAGGUAUUAUGAUGGUUUUAAUUACUCAUUCUAUAUUCUUAUAUAUCUGUGUUUUCCAUGAUACAUCUUGAUUAACCCUGCAAGGUAUUCACUUCGCUUGGAAUAUUCAUCACUGGCUAUGUCAGAAAUCAAUCCAAUUACUUUUCUUUUCUACCAGGAUUUUGUUUUUGCCCUAAUUUUAUGAUUGUGUGGGUUUAGGGAUUUUGUUUCUGCCCUAAUUAAUAGUGAUUUGUUAUGGUCUAGGCCAACAGUUUUCCUUUUUCAUGGAAUCUGAUAGUCAGUUGGGCAAUUAUUUUUUGCCUUUUGUGAUUUUGAGAUCAUCUAACUUCUGAGUUUCUCUUUGAAGUAAUUCAUGCAUCUAUUAAUGAUGUUCAUUGGUAGAUUGCAUAGCAGGAGUUCUUUGUUGCUGGGAUUCAAGGAUGAAAUAAUGAUGGUUCCUUCACUUUAUUAAACUUAGUACAACUUCCAAUGACUCUCUGCAUACCCUAUAAUAGUGGUGGCUUUAGUGAUGCUGGGGUUGGAGAAGGACUUUCUGAAGCAUAAAUUAAUUGUAUGCAAUAUAGUUUUCUUUGUGAUAGUUUUUCUUAACAUUUCAGUCAGAUAAUGCGACUUCAUAGUUAUGUUCAGGAACCGUUGGAUAGAUGUCAUGGCUUGAUAUUGAUGUCGUAAACCAAUAUGAUGUAUAUAGUAAAUAUAGUUGGUUUCUGCAUUCAGGAAUUCCAACAAACAAUGUAAGUAUAAGUAGAGUUCAGAGAAUGUGACAUAAAGCUCGAAAAUGGAUUUCCAUCCAUAUAAAAAAACAGGUCUGCAAUUUUCAUGUUUCUACAAGUGGACAGUUAAUCUCUUUGUUUUAGUUUUGCUCUUCUUCAUGGCAUAGAGAUGUAGAAACGUUUGUAAUUUUCCUUGAAGAAAAUUAAGUAUUUGUUUCUUUUACUGUUUUUGCAGAAACCCAUAUGACUAAUAUGCGUUUGGCUCGGACGCAAUUGAGAUGGCAAAGCUACGAAGAUAACAAUUUGUUAAUUUUUGUAGUUGGAUUGCCUAUUAAUUGAACAAUCUACUGUAAAUUCAUACGCUGGAAAAAGGUCAUAUUAUCCAGGGUAAACAAAUAAUAUCUUGGUGCAUGAUUUAUCAGGAAAACUGCGGAGGACGUUAUGUAUGGCCUAAUACCUUAUUAUCCAAUGAUAGAAAGCAGCAGAACUGAUGGUAUGUAUGUUAGCCCAAUUGAUUGUUUUUUUUUUCUUUAUCCAAGGCAACUAUUCCGUCGGCAACAGUAAACAACAUUGGGAAUAAAAAUAAAAUGACAGGCCUUAUCUCAUUUAUUAUGAAGAAACUCAAGUAAGAAUGUAAGAUUGAUAAUUUUCUUAAAUACUUAUAUUCAUAUAGCUUCAAUUUAUACAUUUCGAGUCUUGUAACUUUGAUCUUCAUUGGUUGCAAUCACUCGGAGGUCUAUACUUGAUCUUCAAGCUGAAAAACCUAGCAGUGAGUAUUAUGUGGCUACGGGUUUCAUAUUAUUUCAUGUGAUAUUUUAGUUAAGUAACUUCAUGUAAGUAUUUUAAAGCAUGGCUAUAGAUAUCCGAGAUUAAGGGAGAGCCAGGAUUUGAUAUCUUCGUAAACGACAUAUAACAAAUUACGCCUUCUAACCGAACUGGGUUGGUUUUUCUACAUCAAAUAGUUACUACUUUUGAAGCAUUUAUGAUUAGAAAUAGGAGAGACUAUGCGGCCAGUUCUCUGUAUGUUAGGGGCUGGGUAAACUGGCAUUCUCCAUUACUAUUACGGUCUUUUAUGCAGAAUAAUUGCGUUUUCCAGUAUUUUUAGUAUAUUGGACUAGGUGAUACAACGAUUACGAUGUCCAAGUAAUGGCUCUUGGAAUUAUGGAGGAAAUGUGCUAAAGUGAUCCAUUAUAACUUUUAGAUGCAAAUGGAGUUCUUAAUUCCAAGUUUUCCCUCCGUCUGUCCGUACAAUGGUACCAGGUGUAGUUGCAGGGAGCUUCGUCUUUUUAUGUUUCCAUUGGUGACGUCUCCAUGCUUAUUCUUUUUGUUUAUUUCCGUAGACAUUACUACUGAUGCUUAAAAGGACAUUCGAAAAUGUUUUGUGGUUUUGCAAUUCUUUUACCUUCUUCUUUAGCAUUCGAAAAGGUUUGUUGACAAAAAAUUUAACUCAUAUCAGGUGCAAUGUCUAGAAUUCGUGUUGAUCUUGAAUGAGUAUUUAUAUUUCAGGAGCCCGAAAAGAUAAAGACUGAACAGAAAAAGAGAAAAAAGAAUGAGAGCAUAAAAUGAAGCAGCCAUGAUGUGAGAUGGGAUUAACUAGAGUUCCAAUAGGAAUUUAGUUUACCAUUUCUGGAAAGAGUUCUUGAGCUGUAGUAGUUAGUACCCAAAGUAUAUGGUACAGUUUAUUGUAUUUCAAAUUUGUGUUUCUGUUUGGGAUGAUGUUAAGAUGUAAAAAGAUCAUAUACAUAAGGGUGGUCAUUCAAUACCUUAACAUUCUUUUAUCUUUACUGAUGCAAUGAUAGUUUAUUCGAGUCAA